rnacentral:rRNA from 1 species
UGGAGGAAAGUAGGGGAUCGAGAGAAGCAGGGGAUGGAGGAAAGUAGGGGAUCGAAAGACCUUAUGCUUUUGGAGCGGCCGAUGUCUGAUUAGCUAGUUGGUGGGGUAAUUGCCUACCAAGGCGACGAUCAGUAGUUGGUCUGAGAGGACGACCAGCCACACUGGGACUGAGACACGGCCCAGACUCCUACGGGAGGCAGCAGUGGGGAAUUUUGGACAAUGGGCGCAAGCCUGAUCCAGCAAUGCCGCGUGAGUGAAGAAGGCCUUCGGGUUGUAAAGCUCUUUCAGUCGAGAAGAAAAAGCUGCAGUGAGUAACUGUAGUUCAUGACGGUAUCGACAGAAGAAGCACCGGCUAACUACGUGCCAGCAGCCGCGGUAAUACGUAGGGUGCGAGCGUUAAUCGGAAUUACUGGGCGUAAAGGGUGCGCAGGCGGCUUUGUAAGUCAGAUGUGAAAUCCCCGGGCUUAACCUGGGAAUUGCGUUUGAAACUACAAAGCUAG